rnacentral:rRNA from 1 species
AGGACGAACGCUGGCGGCGUGCUUAACACAUGCAAGUCGAGCGGUGAUCCUCCUUCGGGAGGUGAUCAGCGGCGAACGGGUGAGUAACACGUGGGCAACCUGCCCCUCACACUGGGAUAACCUCGGGAAACCGGGGCUAAUACCGGAUACGACCUCGAGCGGCAUCUCUUGAGGUGGAAAGCUCCGACGGUGAGGGAUGGGCCCGCGGCCUAUCAGCUUGUUGGUGGGGUAAUGGCCUACCAAGGCGACGACGGGUAGCCGGCCUGAGAGGGCGACCGGCCACACUGGGACUGAGACACGGCCCAGACUCCUACGGGAGGCAGCAGUGGGGAAUAUUGCGCAAUGGGCGAAAGCCUGACGCAGCGACGCCGCGUGAGGGAUGAAGGCCUUCGGGUUGUAAACCUCUUUCAGCAGGGACGAAGCGAAGUGACGGUACCUGCAGAGAGCACCGGCUAACUACGCGCCAGCAGCCGCGGUAA